AUACGGAGGGUCCAAGCGUUAUCCGGAAUCAUUGGGUUUAAAGGGUCCGCAGGCGGUCAAUUAAGUCAGAGGUGAAAGCCCAGCGCUCAACGAUGAAACUGCCUUUGAUACUGGUUGACUUGAGUUAUACGGAAGUAGAUAGAAUAAGUAGUGUAGCGGUGAAAUGCAUAGAUAUUACUUAGAAUACCGAUUGCGAAGGCAGUCUACUACGUAUAUACUGACGCUGAGGGACGAAAGCGUGGGGAGCGAACAGGAUUAGAAACCCUAGUAGUCC
rnacentral:rRNA from 1 species